CGGGAAGCCAGCAAGUAGGGAAUCUUCCCGCAAAGGCACGAAAAUUUUGACGGGAGCAACGCCGGCGUGAGUGAUGAAGGUUUUCGGAUCGUAAAACUCUGUUGUUAGGGAAGAACCAAGUACCGUUCGAAUAGGGCCGGUACCUUGACGGUACCUAACCAGAAAGCCACGGCUAACUACGUGCCAGCAGCCGCGGUAAUACGUAGGUGGCAAGCGUUGUCCGGAAUUAUUGGGCGUAAAGCGCGCGCAGGCGGUUUCUUAAGUCUGAUGUGAAAGCCCCCGGCUCAACCGGGGAGGGUCAUUGGAAACUGGGGAACUUGAGUGCAGAAGAGGAGAGUGGAAUUCCACGUGUAGCGGUGAAAUGCGUAGAGAUGUGGAGGAACACCAGUGGCGAAGGCGACUCUCUGGUCUGUAACUGACGCUGAGGCGCGAAAGCGUGGGGAGCGAACAGGAUUAGAUACCCUGGUAGUCCACGCCGUAAACGAUGAGUGCUAAGUGUUAGAGGGUUUCCGCCCUUUAGUGCUGCAGCAAACGCAUUAAGCACUCCGCCUGGGGAGUACGGUCGCAAGACUGAAACUCAAAGGAAUUGACGGGGGCCCGCACAAGCGGUGGAGCAUGUGGUUUAAUUCGAAGCAACGCGAAGAACCUUACCAGGUCUUGACAUCCUCUGACAACCCUAGAGAUAGGGCUUCCCCUUCGGGGGCAGAGUGACAGGUGGUGCAUGGUUGUCGUCAGCUCGUGUCGUGAGAUGUUGGGUUAAGUCCCGCAACGAGCGCAACCCUUGAUCUUAGUUGCCAGCAUUCAGUUGGGCACUCUAAGGUGACUGCCGGUGACAAACCGGAGGAAGGUGGGGAUGACGUCAAAUCAUCAUGCCCCUUAUGACCUGGGCUACACACGUGCUACAAUGGGCAGAACAAAGGGCAGCGAAGCCGCGAGGCUAAGCCAAUCCCACAAAUCUGUUCUCAGUUCGGAUCGCAGUCUGCAACUCGACUGCGUGAAGCUGGAAUCGCUAGUAAUCGCGGAUCAGCAUGCCGCGGUGAAUACGUUCCCGGGCCUUGUACACACCGCCCGUCACACCACGAGAGUUUGUAACACCCGAAGUCGGUGAGGUAACCUUUGGAGCCAGCCGCCGAAG
rnacentral:rRNA from 1 species